CGUGUACGCCAGACAGUCGCGGGGGGAGAGAAAACCCUUCGAGGAAAGUCCGGACAUCGCAGGGCACGGUGGUCGGGAAGCCGACCCGGGGAAACCCGCGGGAAAGUGCCACAGAAAUACACCGCCGAUGGCGUGAGUGAGUUGGACGUCCGCUCAUUUGCGCACAGGUAAGGGUGAAAAGGUGCGGUAAGAGCGCACCGGCGUCGUGGUAACACGGCGGCCAGGUAAACCCCACCGGAUGCAAGACCAAGCAGAACCGUUUGUAGGCUGCCCGCCAAGGUUCAGGUAGGUCGCAAAGAUGGAUGGCUGUCCAAGACAGAAUCCGGCUUACCGGCGUACUAAGGGA
rnacentral:RNase_P_RNA from 1 species